rnacentral:rRNA from 1 species
AUUGAACGCUGGCGGCAGGCCUAACACAUGCAAGUCGAACGAGUGGCGGACGGGUGAGUAAUGUCUGGGAAACUGCCUGAUGUAGGGGGAUAACUACUGGAAACGGUAGCUAAUACCGCAUACCAUCAGAUGUGCCCAUAUGGGAUUAGCUAGUUGGUGGGGUAACGGAUCACCAAUGCGACGAUCCCUAGCUGGUCUGAGAGGAUGACCAGCCACACUGGAGCUGGUACACGGUGCAGACUCCUACGUGAGGCAGCAGUGGGGAAUAUUGCACAAUGGGCGCAAGCCUGAUGCAGCCAUGCCGCGUGUAUGAAGAAGGCCUUCGGGUUGUAAAGUACUUCCAGCGAGGAGGCGUUACCCGCAGAAGAAGCACCGGCUAACUCCGUGCCAGCAGCCGCGGUAAUAC